GCUUGCGGCCACACCGCUUGGUUCACCGAUCUCGUUUGAUCUCGGAAGAUAAGAUAGGUUGGGCCUGGUUAGUACUUGGAUGGGAGAUCGCCUGGGAAUACCAGGUGCUGUAAACU
rnacentral:rRNA from 1 species